rnacentral:rRNA from 1 species
UACGGAGGGUGCAAGCGUUGUCCGGAUUUAUUGGGUUUAAAGGGUGCGUAGGCGGCUGAUUAAGUCAGUGGUGAAAGGCAGCAGCUUAACUGUUAGCACGGCCAUUGAUACUGGUUAGCUUGAGUACAGUCGAGGUAGGCGGAAUUGAAGGUGUAGCGGUGAAAUGCAUAGAUAUCUUCAAGAACACCUAUUGCGAAGGCAGCUUACUAGGCUGUAACUGACGCUGAUGCACGAAAGCGUGGGGAUCGAACAGG